rnacentral:rRNA from 1 species
GUCGGGAAUUUUGGGCAAUGGGGGAAACCCUGACCCAGCAACGCCGCGUGAGGGAUGAAGGCCUUCGGGUCGUAAACCUCUGUCGGGAGGGACGAAUCCGCUCCGGCGAACAGUCGGAGCGGUUGACGGUACCUCCAAAGGAAGCACCGGCUAACUCCGUGCCAGCAGCCGCGGUAAUACGGAGGGUGCAAGCGUUGUUCGGAAUCAUUGGGCGUAAAGCGCAUGUAGGCGGCUUGGUAAGUCGGAUGUGAAAUCCCGGGGCCCAACCCCGGAACUGCAUUCGAUACUGCCUCGCUGGAGUCCCGGAGAGGAGAGCGGAAUUCCCGGUGUAGAGGUGAAAUUCGUAGAUAUCGGGAGGAACACCAGUGGCGAAGGCGGCUCUCUGGACGGUGACUGACGCUGAGAUGCGAAAGCGUGGGUAGCAAACAGGAUUAGAAACCCUUGUAGUCC